GGUUCAGGCUCCUAACGACACAAGACUUUGCUGCAAUAUGUCAUCUGACGAUGAUGAAAGGAAUAUGAUGAUAAUAACAUUGUUCAACAAAGGCUUAAAACAAAAGGAA